rnacentral:rRNA from 1 species
CAAGGGCGUAUAUUAAAGUUGUUGCAGUUAAAAAGCUCGUAGUUGGAUUUCUGUCAAGAGCAAGCGGUCCGCUCCUUUGGAGUGUGUACUUGCGUCGUUUUUGACUUUCUUCUGAACCUUGCUGUUUCCCCUUCAUUGGGUGAGGCAGUUUGGCAGAACCUUUACUUUGAGAAAAUUAGAGUGUUUCAAGCAGGCUAGCGCCUUGAAUACUGCAGCAUGGAAUAAUAAGAUAGGAUUUCAGUUCUAUUUUAUUGGUUCUAAGGACUGAAAUAAUGAUUAAUAGGGACAGUUGGGGGCAUUCGUAUUUAACUGUCAGAGGUGAAAUUCUUAGAUUUGUUAAAGACGAACUACUGCGAAAGCAUUUGCCAAGGAUGUUUUCAUUAA